rnacentral:rRNA from 1 species
UACGGAGGUGGCAAGCGUUGCUCGGAAUCACUGGGCGUAAAGGGCGCGUAGGCGGGGAGGUAAGUCGGGUGUGAAAUCCCUCGGCCCAACCGAGGAACUGCGCCCGAGACUGCUUCUCUUGAGUCCCGGAGAGGAAGAUGGAAUUCCAGGUGUAGCGGUGAAAUGCGUAGAUAUCUGGAGGAACACCGGUGGCGAAGGCGGCAUCCUGGACCGGCAUUGACGCUGAGGCGCGAAAGCCAGGGGAGCAAACGGG